UCUCCGUUGGUGAACCAGCGGAGGGAUCAUUACCGAGUUUACAACUCCCAAACCCCUGUGAACAUACCUAUCGUUGCUUCGGCGGGAUCGCCCCGGCGCCCUCGGGCCCGGACCCAGGCUGCCCGCCGGAGGACCCAAACUCUGCCUUGCAGUGUCUUCUGAGUGGAAUCAUACAAAUGAAUCAAAACUUUCAACAACGGAUCUCUUGGUUCUGGCAUCGAUGAAGAACGCAGC
rnacentral:misc_RNA from 1 species